rnacentral:lncRNA from 1 species
CAUCCAAUUCGUCGAAAAUUUUAUCUCCUAGCCAGCAUCUCAUUCUACAAACACAUCACACACAAUUAAUUGACACAAUCAACAUCAUAUGAAGAUCAAAAUUGGCCCUUAAAUCCAUACGAGACGUGUGGCCCAGCAACAAAAUUCGGAAACUCUAGUGAUACUAAUGAUUGUGCGCCGUUGCAAGGUGGUUUGUCUUACCUAGGUGCUCUAAUUCAUGGCGAAACAUUAUCCAAAAUAGCUUCAAUUAUUCUGAGGCAUUUUGUUCUUUCCCCAAGCCUAACUUGCCGCUACAAUUGGAGUUGGUGCUUGUCUCCAAAUCUAAAAUGCAUUCAGCCUCCUCAUCAACUUGGUGAUGGUGGUGAUGUGGUGGUUUUGUCACCUAAACUUAUCUAGGCUUCGAUUUUUUCAGAUUCAUUGAGGCGAGGUUGUGGUGGAAAACCAGUUAACUUCUUCGUAUCUUGGUGGUGGUGGUGGGGUUGUAGGUAGAGAUGGAUAUGUUUUUUCCAUAUUAAAAAGUUCGAUUUUGAUUAUGAUUAUGAUUUUUUAUUUGGGUUUCAUUUGACAGUGGUGAAGAUGGUAGUAGAGGUGGUGGCAGCUAUGAUUUGGUUGCGACAACCAGGGGCUAUAGGCAGUAAUAGGUAGACGUGUUUGGUUUUGGG